rnacentral:tRNA from 1 species
UAUUUAAUGACUGAUUAUAAAGUAAUAGUUUUUUAAACUAUAUAUAUAUAUAUAAUAUAAAUAGUUAAUUUAAUAA